UUGAACCUUUAUUCUAACAUUUCCUUAAACAAGCCUCACCAUUGACCUUUCUUUUAAAACAAUAAAUUCCUUUUGCUUAAGUCAGUUUCUGUUGGGCUUUCUGUCACUUGCAAUUCAACAAGACCUCCUGGUAAAUUGACUCUGUAUGGAAUCACCAUUACUUCCAUACUAUUUCAAGAUUUGUUUUGCUGCUGAGGGUUUUUUCCUAAAACUAUCUGAUAUACAAUAACAUUGUAUUGUGUACUUUAAAAUGUGUUGAGAGGGUAGACCUCAUAUUCAGUGUUCUUACCACACACAAAAGGGCUAAUAUGAUGUGCCUUUGUGAAUUUAGACCUGAAAGUGCUAUUCUCAUGACACAGAUGAAAAAAUAUGGUUUGUUUUCAUACAUAGGAGAAAACUGAAUGGGCUACCUUUGAAGUCCAGGGCACCCUCCUCUAUCUUGUUCACUUCCUCAUCAGGCACUAUCUAUGGACUGAGAAGAGAAGGACUUUAAAACAGUGGUAAAGAAAGCAACAAAGACAAUGACUGGCAAGACAGAAGAAUUGUGCAGAGAAAGAGGUAGAUAGAAAUGGAAGUCUGUUGUUCCCCUCUAUGUGUCUAUGUGUUUUCAUCAUUUUGCUCCCACUGAUACGUGAGAACAUGCCACAUUUGGUUUUCUGUUCCUGUGUUAGUUUGGUAAGGAUAAUGCCCUCCAGCUCUAUCCAUGUCCCUGCAAAGAACGUGAUCUCAUUCUUUUUAAUGGGUGUAAAGUAUUCCAUGGUGUAUAUGUACCACAACACCCCUGAACUUAACUUAAAAGUUAAAAAUAAAAAAUAAAAAAGGAAACCUUUGUAAAAGAUAACUCAUUUUAGCUCCAUUUCCUUCCUGGAGGUAGGAAAGCAAGUUUGGUAGUGAAUAGGCCAGUUAGUACAUCGUAUCCAAGCUGGUCAGAUCCUGGGACUGUUGAGACAGAUUCUUGUGCACAGAACCACACAAAUCAGAGAUUCAGAAAACAUGAGAGUAAUGAAAGCUAAGACCCAUAUGUGAAAUACAUAAGGGUUAGUCAGAUUUUAAUUAAAAAUGUAUUUUUUUUUAGAGACAGGGUCUCCCUCUGUCACCCAGGAUGGAAUGCAGUGGCAUGAUCAUAACUCACUGUAGCCUCAAAUUUAUGAGCCCAAGGAAGCCUCCCACCUCAACCUCCUGAGUAGCUGGAAUAGCUGAGACUACAGAUGCAUGCCACAAUGCCCAGAUUUUUCUUUUCUUUUUCUUUUUCUUUUUUUUUUUUUUUUUGAGACAGGAUCUCACUGCACUACCCAGGCUGGUCUUGAACUCCUGGCCUCAAGUAAUCCUCACACCUUGGCCCUCUAAAUUGCUGGGAUUAUAGGCAUGGGCUACCAUGCCAGGCCCCUAAAAAAUAUAUUUUUUUAUGAUAAGCCACUUCUGCAGUUCAAUAUGUGUACUUGCUUUAAACCCUACUUUGAAUCUAAAUUACUUCCUUGAUGUUAAUUGAAUUAAGGUCUAGAGGUACCCUCCUACCUGACACAGACACACCCUGAUUUUCAGGACUUACGUAUUUCAUAAAUCCUUAUCAAUAACUUUAUAAAUUAAUUAGGCACAAGCAGAUGAUUGUAAAGUUUUCAUAAAAUUUGUAGAAGAAAAAUAAUUUGUGUUUAUAAGAAUAUCACAGGAACUUUAGAGAC
rnacentral:lncRNA from 1 species